CGGUAAUACGGAGGAUCCAAGCGUUAUCCGGAUUUAUUGGGUUUAAAGGGUGCGUAGGCGGAUUUUUAAGUCAGUGGUGAAAGUUUGUAGCUCAACUAUAAAAUUGCCAUUGAAACUGAAGAUCUUGAGUGUAAAUGAGGUAGGCGGAAUGUGUUGUGUAGCGGUGAAAUGCUUAGAUAUAACACAGAACACCAAUUGCGAAGGCAGCUUACUGGGAUACAACUGACGCUGAGGCACGAAAGCGUGGGGAUCAAACAGGAUUAGAUACCCUGGUAGUCCACGCAGUAAACGAUGAAUACUAACUGUAUGCGAUAUACUGUAUGUGGCAAAGCGAAAGCGUUAAGUAUUCCACCUGGGGAGUACGUUCGCAAGAAUGAA
rnacentral:rRNA from 1 species